AGUGAACGCUGGCGGUAGGCCUAACACAUGCAAGUCGAACGGCAGCACAGUAAGAGCUUGCUCUUACGGGUGGCGAGUGGCGGACGGGUGAGGAAUACAUCGGAAUCUACUUUUUCGUGGGGGAUAACGUAGGGAAACUUACGCUAAUACCGCAUACGACCUACGGGUGAAAGUAGGGGAUCUUCGGACCUUGCGCGAUUGAAUGAGCCGAUGUCGGAUUAGCUAGUUGGCGGGGUAAAGGCCCACCAAGGCGACGAUCCGUAGCUGGUCUGAGAGGAUGAUCAGCCACACUGGAACUGAGACACGGUCCAGACUCCUACGGGAGGCAGCAGUGGGGAAUAUUGGACAAUGGGCGCAAGCCUGAUCCAGCCAUACCGCGUGGGUGAAGAAGGCCUUCGGGUUGUAAAGCCCUUUUGUUGGGAAAGAAAAGCAGCAGGUUAAUACCCCGCUGUUCUGGCGGUACCCAAAGAAUAAGCACCGGCUAACUUCGUG
rnacentral:rRNA from 1 species